ACGGAAGGCAGCAGUGGGGAAUAUUGGACAAUGGGGGAAACCCUGAUCCAGCGACGCCGCGUGAGUGAAGAAGUAUUUCGGUAUGUAAAGCUCUAUCAGCAAGGAAGAAAAUGACGGUACUUGACUAAGAAGCUCCGGCUAAUACGUGCCAGCAGCCGCGGUAAUACGUAUGGAGCAAGCGUUAUCCGGAUUUACUGGGUGUAAAGGGAGCGUAGACGGCGAAGCAAGUCUGAAGUGAAAUGCCGGGGCUUAACCCCGGAACUGCUUUGGAAACUGUUUUGCUAGAGUGCAGGAGAGGUAAGCGGAAUUCCUAGUGUAGCGGUGAAAUGCGUAGAUAUUAGGAGGAACACCAGUGGCGAAGGCGGCUUACUGGACUGUAACUGGCGUUGAGGCUCGAAAGCGUGGGGAGCAAACAGGAUUAGAUACCCUGGUA
rnacentral:rRNA from 1 species